ACACUAAUGAAAUCCAAAACCUUUUGGAUCAACCCAACCUUAGCGAACCGUUCGUAUUUUCCCUUUGCCCAAUUUUACCAAACGCAAAAACUCUGAUGUAAAGUGUCUGAUUCUUAUUCUCGUUUCGGUUGUAAUGACCGAGCGGCGGGAAUCAAAAUCUAACGCAAUA
rnacentral:misc_RNA from 1 species